CCUACGGGUUGCACCAGUAGGGAAUCUUCCACAAUGGGCGCAAGCCUGAUGGAGCAACGCCGCGUGUGUGAUGAAGGCUUUCGGGUCGUAAAGCACUGUUGUAUGGGAAGAAUAGUUAAUGUAGGAAAUGAUGUUAAUGUGACGGUACCAUACCAGAAAGGGACGGCUAAAUACGUGCCUGCAGCCGCGGUAAUACGUAUGUCCCGAGCGUUAUCCGGAUUUAUUGGGCGUAAAGCGAGCGCAGACGGUUCGUUAAGUCUGAAGUGAAAGCCCUCAGCUCAACUGUGGAAUGGCUUUGGAAACUGGCGAACUUGAGUGCAGUAGAGGCAAGUGGAACUCCAUGUGUAGCGGUGGAAUGCGUAGAUAUAUGGAAGAACACCAGUGGCGAAGGCGGCUUGCUGGACUGUAACUGACGUUGAGGCUCGAAAGUGUGGGUAGCAGACAGGAUUAGAUACCCCAGUAGUC
rnacentral:rRNA from 1 species